rnacentral:rRNA from 1 species
AGCAGCCGCGGUAAUUCCAGCUCCAAUAGCGUAUAUUAAAGUUGUUGCAGUUAAAAAGCUCGUAGUUGAAUUUCGGGAUUGGCGCAUCGGUCGUGCCUCACGGGGUAUGAACUGGUGCAGUCAAUUUCUCACCUUCUGGAGAACCGCGAUGUCCUUAAUUGGAUGCCGCGGGGAACCAGGACCUUUACUUUGAAAAAUUAGAGUGUUUAAAGCAGGCAUUUUUGCUUGAAUACAUUAGCAUGGAAUAAUAAAAUAGGACGGCAUGGUUCUAUUUUGUUGGUUUCUAGGACCACCGUAAUGAUUAAUAGGGAUAGUUGGGGGCAUUAGUAUUCAAUUGUCAGAGGUGAAAUUCUUGGAUUUAUUGAAGACUAACUACUGCGAAAGCAUUUGCCAAGGAUGUUUUCAUUAAUCAAGACGAAAGUUAGGGGAUCGAAGACGAUCAGAUACCGUCGUAGUCUUAACCAUAAACUAUGCCGACUAGGAAUCAGACGAUGUUAAUUUUUUAAUGACUCGUUUGGCA